rnacentral:lncRNA from 1 species
UAUGGUAGGCUAUUUAAAGAGCCCUUGGUCUGUGGCUGUAGAGAAGACGAAAAUUGCUUAGUGUUCUUCCUUUGUGUGGAGGUGCUACCGGUGAAGGUGUAAGGCUUGUUGGCCGAUUGUGGUGCCGGCGAGAGCAACGUCCCCUUUGUGAUUCUUCGUGGCUUAGUGUGUGCGUGAUCGAGAGGAAGAGAGCUGUACCUGAGCCGAGAAGAUCGACGCCCCUUGUUCCUCUCUUUGUGUGUUUUUCCUUGCAGGUUGUCGAGGCUGCUGCUACCUCGUUGCUGCGCCGCUGUGCAGCUGCUGUUUUGCGGCUUUGUAGCUGCGCUGUGGCUGCCCAAAGUCGAAGGAAGCCUUCAACAACGACGACGAGGGUCGAUACUCAACAGUGGUAUCAGAGCCACGGUUGACCUCGUCGUCGCAUUGGUAAGUCGGGGUCCUGACCUUAGGAUCCCGCUCUGGUAAAGCGGCUUAAACCUCUCUUGUUUUUCAAUUUCUAGUUGCUGCCAUCUGGUGCAGUUUAGGCUUGGUGCUUAUCUGCUGGUAGAUAUCUAGGAUUCGUGUGUCGAAUUCUGUUUUCUGAUUUAAUUAUUUUUUCGCUGUUACUAUUCACGUGAAUAGUGAUUUCGUGAAUAGUGUUUUUGGUCUCUUAUUUUUACUUCCGCUGUAAACUCUGUGGUUGUCAAUCUUUGUGAGUCUUUGUGAUUAUUUGCUUCGUGUUGCGAUGUCUUCUUUGGCAAAUUAUGGUUUAGCUCCUUUUAAUGGUAAAACGGACUUCGGUUUUUGGCAGCAGAAAAUGGAAUGUAUUUUAAUUCAACAAAAUGUUUAUCAAGUAAUUGAUGAUUCGUAUGAUGAAGAUGUUGAUGAGAAAAAGAAAACUCAAUUGAAUCGUCUUGCCUUGUCUGCUAUUGUUCUCAACUUGUCUGAGUGUGUUCUUAGAAAAGUAGGGAGAAUGACUUCUGCUAAAGAACUAUGGUCUAAGUUAGAGGAGUUGUACACUGGAACCUCGUUGCCGUCUAAGAUAUUUUUGAUUGAAAGGUUUUUCCGUUUCAAACUUGAUUUGAAUAAGAAAAUUGAUGAAAAUGUUGAUGAAUUCACUAAGUUAGUUCAAGAUAUAAAACUGACGGGUGAUAAACAUAUUGAUGAGUAUGCUCCGUAUGCUCUUUUAAAUGCUAUUCCUGACUCUUACAGUGAUGUUAAAUCUGCUAUUAAGUAUGGUAGAGAUAAUGUGACGCUUGACACUGUUGUGAGUGCUUUAAAGAAUAAGGAAUUAGAUUUAAAUUCUAAUAUUUGUGUUCAAGAACCGGACAAAGUCAUGCAUGUUAGGGGUGAAAAGAGAUUUAAUGAUAAGUCUAAUCAUAGAUAUAAGCCUAGGAAGUGCUAUAACUGUGGUGAAACUGGUCACUAUAUUAAGGAUUGUCCUCACCCUAAGAAAAAACAAGAUGUAGAGCAUGCUAAUGUAAUUGGUAAUGAAACCAAUAGUGAUGUGUUCUAAGGUGGAGCUCUUUCUUAAUGCCUUAGUGUUGUUCUUUGUGAUUGUUUAGGCUUUGUGGCUUUGUGAGACUUCGUUGGUUAGUGCCUUAAUGACUAUGUGAGUCUUUGUGGCUUAGUGUCUUUGUGAUUGAUUAGUAGCUUUGUGUCUAUGUGGCUUUGUGAGUUUUACUUUGUGAUGACCGUUUGUGUCGCAUGUUAUCUUCGUGAUCAUGUGUACUUUGUGAUCUGUGCUAGCUCUUUGUGGCCCUUUGUGCUAGACUAACUUUGUGUUAGUGUGCUUCGUGCUUGGUGGUUGUCUUUCUCUUGUUUGUGUUUUGCAGGAAUUGACUUGGUUAGUUUACCCGUUGACCUUUGUGGUCUUGUGUUUCCCUGUUAUUUCUUUGUGAUUUAACAGGGGGCUCGGCGAUGAUGAUUAUGGUACAGCUUCCUCUUUGAUGCACACAAUACCGUGAUUGGGCCAAAGGUGGAGAUGUUGUUAGUUGGCCCAAAUUUGGCCCAACAAGCCCAUGCCCUAUCCUCUUUAUUUUGGCAGCCCUCCCAUUUCCCCCCUUCCAGUCGAAAAUUAGUGCCCUUUUUGGGGCUGUGACCCCUGCGCUUCUUCUCCCCCAUGAACCUCUUCACCUUCCUUCUCUAGAUCCUUCUAUGGUAGGCUAUUUAAAGAGCCCUUGGUCUGUGGCUGUAGAGAAGACGAAAAUUGCUUAGUGUUCUUCCUUUGUGUGGAGGUGCUACCGGUGAAGGUGUAAGGCUUGUUGGCCGAUUGUGGUGCCGGCGAGAGCAACGUCCCCUUUGUGAUUCUUCGUGGCUUAGUGUGUGCGUGAUCGAGAGGAAGAGAGCUGUACCUGAGCCGAGAAGAUCGACG